rnacentral:rRNA from 1 species
GACGAACGCUGGCGGCGUGCUUAACACAUGCAAGUCGAACGGUAAGGCCCUGCUUUUGUGGGGUGCUCGAGUGGCGAACGGGUGAGUAACACGUGAGUAACCUGCCCUUGACUUUGGGAUAACUUCAGGAAACUGGGGCUAAUACCGGAUAGGAGCUCCUGCUGCAUGGUGGGGGUUGGAAAGUUUCGGCGGGUGGGGAUGGACUCGCGGCUUAUCAGCUUGUUGGUGGGGUAGUGGCUUACCAAGGCUUUGACGGGUAGCCGGCCUGAGAGGGUGACCGGCGACAUUGGGACUGAGGUACGGCCCAGACUCCUACGGGAGGCAGCAGUGGGGAAUAUUGCACAAUGGGAGGAAGCCUGAUGCAGCAACGCCGCGUGCGGGAUGACGGCCUGCGGGUUGUAAACCGCUUUCGCCUGUGACGAAGCGGGAGUGACGGUAAUGGGUAAAGAAGCACCGGCUAACUACGUG